rnacentral:rRNA from 1 species
ACUCCUACGGGGAGGCAGCAGUGGGGAAUAUUGCACAAUGGGGGAAAACCCUGAUGCAGCCAUGCCGCGUGUGUGAAGAAGGCCUUCGGGUUGUAAAGCACUUUCAGUAGGGAGGAAGGUAGUGUAGUUAACACCUGCACUAUUUGACGUUACCUACAGAAGAAGCACCGGCUAACUCCGUGCCAGCAGCCGCGGUAAGUACGGAGGGUGCGAGCGUUAAUCGGAAUUACUGGGCGUAAAGCGCAUGCAGGCGGCCUGUUAAGUCAGAUGUGAAAGCCCGGGGUCUUAACCUCGGAAUUGCAUUUGAAACUGGCAGGCUAGAGUCUUGUAGAGGGGUUAGAAUUUCAGGUGUAGCGGUGAAAUGCGUAGAGAUCUGAAGGAAUACCGAGUGGCGAAGGCGGCCCCGUGGACAAAGACUAGACGCUCAGAUGCGAAAGCGUGGGAGCAAACGAGGAUUAGAUACCCCGUGGUAGCGACUGA